rnacentral:rRNA from 1 species
GACGAACGCUGGCGGCGUGCUUAACACAUGCAAGUCGAACGGAAAGGCCCUGCUUUUGUGGGGUGCUCGAGUGGCGAACGGGUGAGUAACACGUGAGUAACCUGCCCUUGACUGUGGGAUAACUUCAGGAAACUGGGGCUAAUACCGGAUAGGAGCUCCUGCUGCAUGGUGGGGGUUGGAAAGUUUCGGCGGUUGGGGAUGGACUCGCGGCUUAUCAGCUUGUUGGUGGGGUAGUGGCUUACCAAGGCUUUGACGGGUAGCCGGCCUGAGAGGGUGACCGGCCACAUUGGGACUGAGAGACGGCCCAGACUCCUACGGGAGGCAGCAGUGGGGAAUAUUGCACAAUGGGCGGACGCCUGAUGCAGCAACGCCGCGUGCGGGAUGACGGCCUUCGGGUUGUAAACCGCUUUCGCCUGUGACGAAGAGUGAGUGACGGUAAUGGGUAAAGAAGCACCGGCUAACUACGUG